rnacentral:rRNA from 1 species
AUUGAACGCUGGCGGCAGGCCUAACACAUGCAAGUCGAACGAGUGGCGGACGGGUGAGUAAUGUCUGGGAAACUGCCUGAUGGAGGGGGAUAACUACUGGAAACGGUAGCUAAUACCGCAUACCAGCGGAUGUGCCCAGGUGGCAUUAGCUAGUAGGUGGGGUAAAGGCUCACCUAGGCGACGAUCCCUAGCUGGUCUGAGAGGGUGACCAGCCACACUGGAACUGAGACACGGUCCAGACUCCUACGGGAGGCAGCAGUGGGGAAUAUUCCACAAUGGGCGAAAGCCUGAUACAGCCAUGCCGCGUGUAUGAAGAAGGUCUUCGGGUUGUAAAGUACUGUCAGCGGGGAGGCGGUAUCUGCAGAGGAAGCCCCGGCUAACUCCGUGCCAGCAGCCGCGGUAAUUC